GUGAUUUCAUUCCAGAAAUGCCCAACUGGCCAGAAAGAGCAGAACAGGGAGACCUAAGGAUGCGGAUUUCAUGCAGCUGGCCCAGGGGCUAAGUCCUGAAGUUUGAAACCAUGUUCAAAAAAUGGAAUCCACAAUCCAGAUCCAACCUAAGCAGGCCCUCUAAGUUUUUACACAGCUUUUGAAUGAAUCAUCUGGCAGUAGACUGGAGAAGAGGGUGUAGCUAGCACAGCUACGAACUGCCUCUGCAAACUGCUGCCAGGAAAUAGCCCAUAUGUAGCAGAAUUGUGGAAGAGACUGCUAUCAGAAAGAAAAUUACCAGCUGCAAAUUUUUCAAGCCUCCCUACUCAGUCCCGAAGGCU